rnacentral:rRNA from 1 species
GACGAACGCUGGCGGCGUGCCUAACACAUGCAAGUCGAGCGGGAAUCUAUCAAUUGAAGCUUCGGCCGAUUUUGAUAGAGGAUAGCGGCGGACGGGUGAGUAACGCGUGAGCAACCUGCCUCAGAGAGGGGGACAACAGCUGGAAACGGCUGCUAAUACCGCAUAACGUAUCAUUAUCGCAUGAUUAUGAUACCAAAGGAGCAAUCCGCUCUGAGAUGGGCUCGCGUCUGAUUAGCUAGUUGGUGAGGUAACGGCUCACCAAGCCGACGAUCAGUAGGGGUUCUGAGAGGAAGGUCCCCACAUUGGAACUGAGACACGGUCCAAACUCCUACGGGAGGCAGCAGUGAGGAAUAUUGGUCAAUGGUCGAGAGACUGAACCAAGCC